rnacentral:rRNA from 1 species
UUCGCAAUGCCCGAAAGGGUGAUCAAGCGACGCCGCGUGCGGGAUGAAGGGCUUCGGCUUGUAAACCGCUUUUGUUUGGGAAGAAUGCCCGUAUCGUGAAUACGGGAUUGACGGUACCAGACGAAUAAGCCCCGGCUAACUCCGUGCCAGCAGCCGCGGUAAGACGGAGGGGGCAAGCGUUGUUCGGAAUUAUUGGGCGUAAAGGGCUCGUAGGCGGAUCCGCCAGUCUGACGUGGAAUCUCCACCGCUCACCGGGGAGGGGCCGCUGGAUACUACGGAUCUGGAGUUCGGCAGAGGACCAUGGAAUUUCGGGUGUAGCGGUGGAAUGCGUAGAUAUCCGAAAGAACACCGGUGGCGAAGGCGGUGGUCUGGGCCUGAACUGACGCUGAGGAGCGUAAGCCAGGGGAGCAAACGGGAUUAGAUACCCCGGUAGUCCUAGCCCUAAACGAUGGGCACUAAGUAGAGGGGUUUU